AACGAACGCUGGCGGCAGGCCUAACACAUGCAAGUCGAGCGAGGACUUCGGUCCUAGCGGCGGACGGGUGAGUAACGCGUGGGAACGUGCCCCUUGGUACGGAAUAGCCCCGGGAAACUGGGAGUAAUACCGUAUGAGCUCUACGGAGGAAAGAUUUAUCGCCAAGGGAUCGGCCCGCGUUGGAUUAGGGAGUUGGUGGGGUAACGGCCUACCAAGCCGACGAUCCAUAGCUGGUUUGAGAGGAUGAUCAGCCACACUGGGACUGAGACACGGCCCAGACUCCUACGGGAGGCAGCAGUGGGGAAUCUUACACAAUGGGCGCAAGCCUGAUCUAGCCAUGCCGCGUGAGCGAUGAAGGCCUUAGGGUUGUAAAGCUCUUUCAGCUGGGAAGAUAAUGACUGUACCAGCAGAAGAAGCCCCGGCUAACUCCGUGCCAGCAGCCGCCGUAA
rnacentral:rRNA from 1 species